rnacentral:tRNA from 1 species
GUCUGGCUGGCUCAGUCUUUAGAGCACAGGACUCUUGAUCCUCAGGGUCGUGAGUUCAAGCCCCACACUGGGCA